rnacentral:misc_RNA from 1 species
CUUUAACGAACUUAACCCAUUGGAGCCAUCGCCCACUGAACCUUCUUAUUUCCUCGGUCUCAUACCAUCUCAAUUUCAACCGUUCUCAGGUUAAAUUAGUUCACUCCAUUACAUCAUUCUUCAUUUCUUGACUCCUCAAUCCUAAUCACCAAUUUUCACAGAUCACCCAAACUUGGAUACAAAAUCUAAUUGCUCUCAGCUCAACUGUGUCAAUUUGAUUCGGAUAUGGCUUCUUCAAUGCUUUCUUUAGCUUCCGCUUCUCCUUCUGCUUCGCUUUCUAUGCAUGACACUCUCAAGGGAAAGGUGAGGCUUGGAAGUGGCAAUUUGACUGCGUGGUUUCACAAGGAGAAAUCCAAUCCCUUUAUAAACACUAAGUCUUCAGGCAGGAUAUCUAUGGCUGUUGCAGUCAAUGUUUCUCGUUUUGAGGGUAUAACAAUGGCCCCCCCUGAUCCAAUUCUUGGAGUUUCUGAAGCUUUUAAAGCAGACAAUGAUGAAAAGAAACUCAAUCUUGGAGUUGGGGCCUACCGAACUGAAGAGCUACAGCCUUAUGUUCUUAAUGUUGUUAAGAAGGCUGAGAAUCUUAUGCUCGAGAGGGGUGAAUAUAAAGAGUAUCUUCCCAUAGAAGGUUUGGCUGCAUUCAAUAAGGUGACUGCAGAGUUAUUACUUGGAGCAGACAACACAGUGAUAAAGCAACAAAGAGUUGCAACAGUCCAAGGUCUUUCAGGCACUGGUUCUCUUCGUUUAGCUGCGGCUCUCAUUGAGCGAUAUUUUCCAGGGGCAAAAGUCCUGAUAUCAUCUCCAACUUGGGGUAAUCACAAGAAUAUUUUCAAUGAUGCUAGAGUCCCUUGGUCUGAGUACAGAUACUAUGAUCCCAAAACAGUUGGGUUGGAUUUUGAGGGAAUGAUAGCAGACCUAAAGGCAGCCCCUGAAGGAUCAUUUAUUUUGCUUCAUGGCUGUGCUCACAACCCAACUGGUAUAGAUCCAACCCCUGAACAGUGGGAAAAAAUUGCCGAUGUCAUUCAAGAGAAGAACCACAUUCCAUUUUUUGAUGUUGCAUACCAGGGAUUUGCUAGUGGAAGCCUUGAUGCAGAUGCAGCAUCAGUGAGGUUGUUUGCUGCACGUGGAAUGGAGCUUCUGGUAGCUCAGUCAUACAGUAAAAACUUGGGUCUAUAUGCAGAAAGAAUUGGGGCAAUCAAUGUCAUCUGCUCAUCAGUAGAUGCCGCAGCAAGGGUUAAGAGCCAGCUGAAAAGGCUUGCACGACCAAUGUACUCAAAUCCUCCUGUACAUGGGGCUAGGAUUGUUGCCAAUGUUGUUGGGGAUCCAACUCUCUUCGAUGAAUGGAAAGCAGAGAUGGACAUGAUGGCUGGAAGGAUAAAAGGUGUUAGACAGAAAUUAUUUGAUAGUCUUUCUGCAAAAGAUAAGAGUGGGAAGGAUUGGUCUUUUAUAUUAAAGCAGAUUGGCAUGUUCUCCUUCACAGGAUUGAACAAAGCUCAGGUAAGUUUUAUCACAAAUUCCACACUAUAUGCUCAUCAAGGAGUCUUGAUCUCUUGUUUUCCAGUCCUUCAUCCUGGCUGUAGGGGUUUCUGUGAUAGUAAAUUUUGACUAUUUUCCCUGUGCCAUCUGAUGCAAUUUUUUUUGUCUUCUAAGACCCCAUACGAUUUUGUUGUGGUUUCAAAACUAUUGGAAAAGCUUCCUCUUCUUUCAUGCAAUAUUAUCACUAUGUUCAGUAAAAAUACAAAGGAAACCAACCAGUAGAAGUAAUAAGAAGAAAGAGGUGAGAGGAAAUAAAUGUUGGUCCCUUUGUUUGAGUUGAAUUUUUAAAAUUGUGUUGCUGGAAUCGGUGGGCCCAAAUGGCCAAUGGGAAAUAAUAUAACACUGCAAACCUCCAUGAGUUGUGAUUCCCCUUUACCAAGCAGAUGUCAAGGAUCUUUCCUUCACAAAAUCCUUUUCCUUUCCUCCCAAUUUUCUACCACAGUAUAGGUAGUAUACUUCCUCAAUCAUCAAUUCAUUAAUGAAUUGGUUAUAUCUAGGAUAACCUCUGAUUUCCAUAUUGUGUUUGCACAUCAACUUCCCUGAUUGUUUGGAGAUCAUAAGUUCUAAAACUGUGACAGUGUGACUGGUCUGACACAUCUAGAAUCAUUUCAAAUAUUUGUUUGUGAAACAGUUAAGAGUGUCUUCCUAUACACCUGAUUUUUUUGUAUUACUCUUUUUUUUUUCCUGAUCAGAGCGAGAAUAUGACCAAUAAGUGGCAUGUUUACAUGACAAAGGAUGGAAGGAUUUCCCUGGCUGGAUUGAAUUUGGCCAAAUGUGAAUACCUUGCAGAUGCAAUUGUUGAUUCAUAUCACAAUGUCAGUUGAAAUGAUAGAAGCAUGAGUUGCUCAUAUUAGAAGCAAACCUUGGAAAGUUUU